CCAGCCAGCCUUGGGAGCAGACACUCUCUCACUGUGCCAUUCACUCACCCUGGAUCCUCUGACCGGCUGUGACUGAUCUGCCUUCCAGGGACAGUGCGGGAACCGCCCAGGCUGGGGCUAGUCUCAGUGCAGGGGCAUCAGCCCAGCUCACUCUACACAGCCCAGUCUGUACAUGCAGCCCCGCCUGGCAACGCGCAAGCGCAGCCCGCCCCCUAUCUGCUACACUGCCCAUCACAGCCACAGCAUGGGAG